rnacentral:rRNA from 1 species
UACGUAGGGAGCAAGCGUUGUCCGGAAUCAUUGGGCGUAAAGCGCGCGUAGGCGGCCCCGUAAGUCCGCUGUGAAAGUCAAAGGCUCAACCUUUGAAAGCCGGUGGAUACUGUGGGGCUAGAGUCCGGAAGAGGCGAGUGGAAUUCCUGGUGUAGCGGUGGAAUGCGCAGAUAUCAGGAGGAACACCGGUGGCGAAGGCGGCUAUCUGGACAGAGUCUGACGCUGAGGCGCGAAAGCUAGGGGAGCAAACAGG